AGCAAUACUGAGUGGCAGACGGGUGAGUAUAAUGUGGGAAUCUGCCUUUUGGUUUGGAAUAACUCGGGGAAACUUGAGCUAAUACCGGAUAAGCCCUUACGGGGAAAGCUUUACGCGCCAAAAGAUGAGCCCGCACUUGAUUAGCUUGUUGGUGAGGUAAUGGCUCACCAAGGCAACGAUCAAUAGCUGUUCUUAGAGGAAGACCAGCCACAUUGGGACUGAGACACGGCCCAGACUCCUACGGGAGGCAGCAGUAAGGAAUCUUGCACAAUGGGGGAAACCCUGAUGCAGCGAUGCCGCGUGAGUGAAGAAGGCCUUUGGGUUGUAAAACUCUUUCGUCGGGGAAGAAAAUGACUGUACCCGAAUAAGAAGGUCCGGCUAACUUCGUGCCAGCAGCCGCGGUAAUACGAAGGGACCUAGCGUAGUUCGGAAUUACUGGGCUUAAAGAGCUCGUAGGUGGUUAAAAAAGUUGAUGGUGAAAUCCCAAGGCUCAACCUUGGAACUGCCAUCAAAACUCUUUAGCUAGAGUGUGAUAGAGGAAAGUGGAAUUUCUAGUGUAGAGGUGAAAUUCGUAGAUAUUAGAAAGAACACCAAAAGCGAAGGCAACUUUCUGGAUCAUUACUGACACUGAGGAGCGAAAGCAUGGGUA
rnacentral:rRNA from 1 species